GUGAAGAUGAUAAUGCCACCGUCCUUUAGCUGGGAGACGAGGAACUCUGGGGUUGAGUAGAUACACACUGGAGAGUGGAGACACAUGGGGCCAGGAUCUGGAGCAACACACGGAAGACUGGAGAUGGUUGGAACCGGGAUCGGGGCUCUGGAGACGAGUAGGCGUUUUGCUGAGACGUAGGUGAGUCCGUGGCGUAGUGGAGGGAGGCUAAAGAGUUCUGUCCUUAAUCCAAAUGAGACCGGACACUGACUGUGAUGAGGGAUUGUGUUUUAUAGGGGAGUGGAGUGAAUGAUUAGGUGCAGGUGUGUGAUAGGUGACAGGUGAUGGGAAUUAGAACUCGGGUGAGGGAGUGCGGUGUGUGUGUGGUGUAGUGGAGCCUGGCGUGUCUGUGACAGUCAGGGUAAAAGAGUUGAAUAUAAACACAGACAUGACAUGACAUGAAUUCAUUUCAGGUGUUGUGGCUCUUGACUCCGAAAAGCAUCUUUGCUCUUUGAGGGUGGAAACACAAGGAGAAGAAAUGGAAUUGUUGUUCUAAUUCAAAUCCUUUAAAUUUGUAUUGAGCAAGAUAACCAAGCUGGAAGGCCAGGGACCUAAUUUAAGGGCUAUUUACCAUACGACAGAUUUUCGAUGGAGCUGCACCCGGAUUCAGCAAUUGGCAAGGAGAAAACCUGCAAGAGAAAAAAGAUUUAAACCUUGCAUAGCUUUACAAACACGUUCAUUUUAUAUUUUCUACUGUUUACAAAGACACUGGUAAUUAAUAAUUCAUCCAUCUCAUCCUAAGAUCCUUUGCUGUGAAUGCUUUGUGAGCUGCUCCUCAGUCUUGCCCUCUGCACGGAAAAUUAGGCAAUACAGGAAAAGAGGACCCACUUUGAUCAAAAACAAAGAGGUGGGAUGUGAUUAAUUCCAGGGCACGUCUUCUGGCUGUAGCACCCUUGACUGAUUCAUCAGACUUGAGCAACAAAAGGAACACCAUUUUUAAUCAGAGUCAUAAUCCUAGAUCAGCACUUAAGCGGGAUUUGUCUCUAAACGAGUGAUUGUUGUCGCUUCUCAACAUGUUUAGGCACCUCACAGUAGAGGUGUAACAAUAAAUGUUGAACAAUGAGCUCUCUCUCCCUCUUUCUGUCUUUGUCAUCUAU